GUGCCAGCCGCCGCGGUAAUACGGAGGGUGCAAGCGUUGUUCGGAAUUAUUGGGCGUAAAGCGCGUGCAGGCGGUUGCUUAAGUCUGAUGUGAAAGCCCUGGGCUCAACCCGGGAAGUGCAUUGGAAACUGGGCAACUUGAGUACGGGAGAGGAUAGUGGAAUUCCGAGUGUAGGGGUGAAAUCCGUAGAUAUUCGGAGGAACACCGGUGGCGAAGGCGGCUAUCUGGACCGAUACUGACGCUGAGACGCGAAAGCGUGGGGAGCAAACAGGAUUAGAUACCCCCGUAGUCC
rnacentral:rRNA from 1 species